GCCGUUUCAUUCAGUGUUUUGUGCUGAGUCCGAGAUGUUGGGCUGACGGUCAGCAAUCGCUCCUGCCGGAAGGACAAGCAACAGCCACCAAUUGGAUUCGCGAGCAGGGAGCCCAAUGCGAGGCGGUGCAAAGCAGAGUACUGCUCUGUAAAUUACGACACCAGAAACAGAACCAGAACCGAUUGGCAGGCAUUUGCAAUAGCAUUUAACUCAAUUGGAAUGUAAGUGAGUCCCAGCUCCGGCCCAACGCCCCACGCCCACGCCCACGCCCGGCACACAACACCAACAACACUUUCGGCAGAUAUUUGGCUUAUCACAUCUAAACGUCAUCCAGCAACCGGCAACCAAGGCCAUUUAACGAUGCAAAUAGGCCCGGCGACCACUUUGUGGCAGUUCGCAUUGUCAACCAGAGACCAUCGUCCUUUUGCAUUUAUCCCAAGGCAUUGAAUCGCACGGAACCGUUGGAGAAACCCCAAGCGCAUUUUCGGCCAAACACCAAAAUUCACACUUGCGAUUAAGUUUAGGUGUAACCAAUAAACACGUCAAAAACUACAAUAGGCUACCAAA